rnacentral:rRNA from 1 species
UGGGGAAUUUUGGACAAUGGGCGAAAGCCUGAUCCAGCAAUGCCGCGUGUGUGAAGAAGGCCUUCGGGUUGUAAAGCACUUUUGUCCGGAAAGAAAUCCUUGGCUCUAAUACAGUCGGGGGAUGCGGUACCGGAAGAAUAAGCACCGGCUAACUACGUGCCAGCAGCCGCGGGUAAUACGUAGGGUGCAAGCGUUAAUCGGAAUUACUGGGCGUAAAGCGUGCGCAGGCGGUUUGCUAAGACCGAUGUGAAAUCCCCGGGCUCAACCUGGGAACUGCAUUGGUGACUGGCAGGCUAGAGUAUGGCAGAGGGGGGUAGAAUUCCACGUGUAGCAGUGAAAUGCGUAGAGAUGUGGAGGAAUACCGAUGGCGAAGGCAGCCCCCUGGGCAAUACUGACGCUCAUGCACGAAAGCGUGGGGAGCAAACAGGAUUAGAUACCCUGGUAGUCCACGCCCUAAACGAUGUCAACUAGUUGUUGGGGAUUCAUUUCCUUAGUAACGUAGCUAACGCGUGAAGUUGACCGCCUGGGGAGUACGGUCGCAAGAUUAAAACUCAAGGAAUUGACGGGGUCAUAGCUGUUCCU